rnacentral:rRNA from 1 species
CCUACGGGAGGCAGCAGUGGGGGAUAUUGCACAAUGGGGGAAACCCUGAUGCAGCGACGCCGCGUGGGUGAAGAAGCGCCUCGGCGCGUAAAGCCCUGUCAGCAGGGAAGAAAAUGACGGUACCUGCAGAAGAAGCCCCGGCUAACUACGUGCCAGCAGCCGCGGUAAUACGUAGGGGGCAAGCGUUAUCCGGAUGUACUGGGUGUAACGGGGGCGCAGACGGCGAUGCAAGCCAGGAGUGAACGCCCGGGGCCCACCCCCGGGACUGCUCUUGGAACUGCGUGGCUAGAGGGCAGGGGAGGAAAGCGGAAUUCCUAGUGUAGCGGUGAAAUGCUUCGAUAUUAGGAGGAACACCAGUGGCGAAGGCGGCUUUCUGGACUGUAACUGACACUGCGGUACGAAAGCGUGGGGAGCAAACAGGAUUAGAUACCCGAGUAGUC